rnacentral:rRNA from 1 species
GAGCCAGACUCCUACGGGAGGCAGCAGUGGGGAAUAUUGCACAAUGGGGGAAACCCUGAUGCAGCGACGCCGCGUGAGUGAUGAAGUAUUUCGGUAUGUAAAGCUCUAUCAGCAGGGAAGAUAAUGACGGUACCUGACUAAGAAGCUCCGGCUAAAUACGUGCCAGCAGCCGCGGUAAUACGUAUGGAGCAAGCGUUAUCCGGAUUUACUGGGUGUAAAGGGAGCGCAGACGGCAGGGCAAGUCUGAUGUGAAAGUCCGGGGCUCAACCCCGGGACUGCAUUGGAAACUGUAUAGCUUGAGUACUGGAGAGGCAGGCGGAAUUCCUAGUGUAGCGGUGAAAUGCGUAGAUAUUAGGAGGAACACCAGUGGCGAAGGCGGCCUGCUGGACAGAAACUGACGUUGAGGCUCGAAAGCGUGGGGAGCAAACAGGAUUAGAUACCCCAGUA